rnacentral:lncRNA from 1 species
UUCUGAUCCGGGUGGCACGUUAAAUUCCUCCGGGUGUUGGUUGAGCAGAUGUGGAGGAGAUUGGCCACUGCACUGCUGCAAAAUUAACGGCUGAGAUUAUAGGUCUACAAUGGGAAUGACCCAAAUGUUUUCUCACUUUUAUUUUUAUUUCUUUCCAGAGGAGAGUUUUUUAUAAACACUGAUGCGUAACGACAUUGAGAAGGAGGUACCUCGUUGCCAACAUCGCCAUCGCUGCUCGCUGCCCUGUGUGCCUCUCCUCUCACGUGGCAGCAGGGCAAGAAAGCCAUGAGAACACGGAACCAGCUGCAGGGUGAGUCCAUAACACCUGAGUUUUCCUUUGAGAUGUCGUCCUUGGCCAGCCAGUGCUGGUGGAGGAGCUGCAGAAGGCACAUGCUAGUGAGGACAGCGUGGAAACCCACUCAGCCCUCAGCUCCCAUACAGAUAGGCUUUGAGCAGCUGGGCCAGCCUGGUCUGAUGGGCCGUCAGGAUGAGCAGGAAUUUCCAGAGCAUCCUGUUGCACAGAGCUGGUGGGGUGAUGAUGGCACAGACUGGGCUCCAAGCUCUGCUCUUCUCCUUGGGCAGCUCUCCGUCCUGUACUGCUGCGUUGAGUGUCACACCCAAGGAAAGAGCCACCUGGUACAGCAGCAGGGGAAGAGCUACAAUAUAGUUGGAAUGAAACUGGGAUGA